rnacentral:rRNA from 1 species
CCUACGGGGGGCUGCAGUGGGGAAUAUUGGACAAUGGGGGGAACCCUGAUCCAGCCAUGCCGCGUGUGUGAAGAAGGCCCUCGGGUUGUAAAGCACUUUCAGUGAGGAAGAACGCCUGGUGGUUAAUACCCAUCAGGAAAGACAUCACUCACAGAAGAAGCACCGGCUAACUUCGUGCCAGCAGCCGCGGUAAUACGGAGGGUGCGAGCGUUAAUCGGAAUUACUGGGCGUAAAGCGCGCGUAGGUGGCUUGAUAAGCCGGUUGUGAAAGCCCCGGGCUCAACCUGGGAACGGCAUCCGGAACUGUCAAGCUAGAGUGCAGGAGAGGAAGGUAGAAUUCCCGGUGUAGCGGUGAAAUGCGUAGAGAUCGGGAGGAAUACCAGUGGCGAAGGCGGCCUUCUGGACUGACACUGACACUGAGGUGCGAAAGCGUGGGUAGCAAACAGGAUUAGAUACCCCGGUAGUC